rnacentral:rRNA from 1 species
AGUGAACGCUGGCGGCAGGCCUAACACAUGCAAGUCGAACGGCAGCACAGUAAGAGCUUGCUCUUACGGGUGGCGAGUGGCGGACGGGUGAGGAAUACAUCGGAAUCUACUUUUUCGUGGGGGCUAACGUAGGGAAACUUACGCUAAUACCGCAUACGACCUACGGGUGAAAGCAGGGGAUCUUCGGACCUUGCGCGAUUGAAUGAGCCGAUGUCGGAUUAGCUAGUUGGCGGGGCAAAGGCCCACCAAGGCGACGAUCCGUAGCAGGUCUGAGAGGAUGAACAGCCACACUGGAAGUGAGACACGGUCCAGACUCCUACGGGAGGCAGCAGUGGGGAAUAUUGGACAAUGGGCGAAAGCCUGAUCCAGCCAUACCGCGUGGGUGAAGAAGGCCUUCGGGUUGUAAAGCCCUUUUGUUGGGAAAGAAAAGCAGCAGGUUAAUACCCCGCUGUUCUGACGGCACCCAAAGAAUAAGCACCGGCUAACUUCGUG